rnacentral:rRNA from 1 species
UACCCUUAGUUGCCAGCGGGUCAUGCCGGGAACUCUAAGGGAACUGCCGGUGAUAAACCGGAGGAAGGUGGGGAUGACGUCAAGUCCUCAUGGCCUUUAUAUCCUGGGCUACACACGUGCUACAAUGGCCGGUACAGAGGGUUGCGAUACCGUGAGGUGGAGCUAAUCCCAUAAAGCCGGUCUCAGUUCAGAUUGAAGUCUGCAACUCGACUUCAUGAAGGUGGAAUCGCUAGUAAUCGCGGAUCAGCAUGCCGCGGUGAAUACGUUCCCGGGCCUUGUACACACCGCCCGUCACACCACGAAAGUUGAUUGUACUAGAAGUCGCCGAGCCAACCUUCACGGGGAGCAGGUGCCCAAGGUAUGAUCAAUGAUUGGGGUGAAAGCGUAACAAGGUA